rnacentral:rRNA from 1 species
AGAGUUUGAUCCUGGCUCAGGAUGAACGCUAGCUACAGGCUUAACACAUGCAAGUCGAGGGGAAACGACAUCGAAAGCUUGCUUUUGAUGGGCGUCGACCGGCGCACGGGUGAGUAACGCGUAUCCAACCUGCCCACCACUUGGGGAUAACCUUGCGAAAGUAAGACUAAUACCCAAUGACGUCUCUAGAAGACAUCUGAAGGAGAUAAAGAUUAUCGGUGAUGGAUGGGGAUGCGUCUGAUUAGCUUGUUGGCGGGGUAACGGCCACCAAGGCGACGAUCAGUAGGGUUCUGAGAGGAAGGUCCCCACAUUGGACUGAGACACGGUCCAAACUCCUACGGGAGGCA